UUUUUGAUUAUGCAUUUGGCACUGCGGCCAAAAAUAAGCGUCGCACAUACAACGGAAGUGGCCCUGCAAUUUGCAUACGCCGCGUAUGCCGCUGAUUGGAGACCAGUUAAUGCACAUUUUUGGUUACCCCCAUCAUAAUGAACUACAUAGCAAUGAGUAAUAUUUAUAUGGAACCGCCAAUGCCACAUAAAGUAAACCAAUAUUAUGCAAUAUAUUCAAUUAUUUUUGGCAACUCUAUAAUUUAGACAGAAAAUAAAAUUGCUUAAACUAGUGAUGUUUCAAUUUAUCUGUGCCUGAUACCCGUUGACCUCGUAAGAUGCACAGCAGCUUCCAUAGCACAAAACAAAUCGUAACCAAAAUUAAUAUGCCCACACCCAAGAGCAUGCCAAACACAUCGAGACUAUAAUAAGCCAAAAAACUCAAAUCCUGCGCCGCCACACGCAUAUGGGACGCGCCCUUGUGGCGCAGCACAUACUCCGUCCACCAGAUGGCCGUCUCCUGUGGGCUCAUGGGCUGAUCGCGAUACCGAGCUGACAUUAGCUGUGCUGUUGUCGAAAAUUUCGGAUCAUUGAUCAGACGUUCAAUGGUCUGCUUAAAUUCCGUGCCUGUCAUCUCUUUAUGAUCGAGUCCCAGUCCGAAGCCAGCGCGCUUAGCGCGCUCAACAUUCAGAAACUGAUCGUAGAAGAAGGGCAGCCCCAGCACGGGCUUACCAUGGUGGAUGCUCUCAAUGGUGCUGAGCAGGCCGCCGUGUGUGAUGAAAAGUUUCACAUUGGGAUGCGCCAGUACGUCGGGCUGGGGGAACCAUUUGCU